CUGCAUGUAGCAACCCGGGCUCCUCUGAAAAUUCAUAUGAAGAAAGAAGUCCCAAAGCUCGUGCGAUAACGACGCCGUUUAGUGUUGCAGAUUUGCCGCUGUACCAUUCUCACGGCCUAUUUGUGUCAAAACAACGGCAACAACC